UUAAAAAAAACUGAAUUUAUACUUUAUCAAUAUAACGAAAUAUUCGCAUAUUAUUAUUGAGAUGUUGUAACAAGGUACGAGAUGAAUCAUAUCGAGUUAAUAAAAACAAAUUCAGCUGUGAUUUAUAAAUUGACUUCACAAGACGCCCCUAUGCAAAAGUACUCUAACAAUAACAUAGAUACAGUUGAAGGUAUACGUUCGUUUAGAAGAGAAGAACAAGACAAGUUUAUCUUGCGUUAAUUAGGAUGUGUUUAGAGCACGGGAGAGGAGGAUAAGUCAUCUCAAGCUAUUUUCGUUACUGUUAUCCUACGAAGAAACAUCGAAACUAAAAAUCUAAAAGAAUGGAACACAACGACGACAAGAUUUGUUGCUAUUCUUGCAAGAAGAUUUACGGUAGUAUGAGUAUAAACAUAAUGGAACAAUCAAAUUUAAGAGAUUGUUAUCACAAUUACACUAUCACACCGUCUCGGAUGAAAAUACGAUUAUGUUUAUUUUGGACUUUAUGGGCUACUCUUAUACUGGUUCUUAUAACUUCUAUUUUUAUGUAUUGCUGUGUCUCAUGGCAAACAUGUCCUAAUCCGUUAAAAAAUGUUCAGUAAAUUAUGACAAAUAUAUUAAACUUAUUUGUUAAAGUUAAUGCUUUUAUAAUUAUCUUAGUAAAAAAA